rnacentral:ncRNA from 1 species
AGACAAGGUAGAGGCGCACCGCCUAUCAGUAAGCCAGCCGAGGUUGACCCCCGAAGACGCUGGCCCAAAGGAGCCGGUGCCGAAGUGAAGCGGGCGUCAUCCCGGUUUGCUGGGGUUGUGUUAAACAGGCACAACACUGCCAUAGUGAUCUCUGUUAGGACGACAGGUUCAGAUUAACUAUGGAGCGCUACUGAAAGG